GAUGAACGCUGACAGAAUGCUUAACACAUGCAAGUCUACUUGAACUUCGGUUUGGGUGGCGGACGGGUGAGUAACGCGUAAAGAACUUGCCUCACAGUUAGGGACAACAUUUGGAAACGAAUGCUAAUACCUGAUAUUAUGAUUUUAGGGCAUCCUAAAAUUAUGAAAGCUAUAUGCGCUGUGAGAGAGCUUUGCGUCCCAUUAGCUAGUUGGAGAGGUAAUGGCUCACCAAGGCGAUGAUGGUAGCCGGCCUGAGAGGGUGAACGGCCACAAGGGGACUGAGACACGGCCCUUACUCCUACGGGAGGCAGCAGUGGGGAAUAUUGGACAAUGGACCAAAAGUCUGAUCCAGCAAUUCUGUGUGCACGAUGACGUUUUUCGGAAUGUAAAGUGCUUUCAGUUGGGAAGAAAAAAAUGACGGUACCAACAGAAGAAGUGACGGCUAAAUACGUG
rnacentral:rRNA from 1 species